GAUGAACGCUGGCGGCGUGCUUAACACAUGCAAGUCGAACGGAAAGGCCCUGCUUUUGUGGGGUGCUCGAGUGGCGAACGGGUGAGUAACACGUGAGUAACCUGCCCUUGACUUUGGGAUAACUUCAGGAAACUGGAGCUAAUACCGGAUAGGAGCUCCUGCUGCAUGGUGGGGGUUGGAAAGUUUCGGCGGUUGGGGAUGGACUCGCGGCUUAUCAGCUUGUUGGCGGGGUAGUGGCUUACCAAGGCUUUGACGGGUAGCCGGCCUGAGAGGGUGACCGGCCACAUUGGGACUGAGAUACGGCCCAGACUCCUACGGGAGGCAGCAGUGGGGAAUAUUGCACAAUGGGCGGAAGCCUGAUGCAGCAACGCCGCGUGCGGGAUGACGGCCUUCGGGUUGUAAACCGCUUUCGCCUGUGACGAAGCGUGAGUGACGGUAAUGGGUAAAGAAGCACCGGCUAACUACGUG
rnacentral:rRNA from 1 species